GAAUCCUGAAUUCGAAAGGGGUCGGAUUCAAGUCUGCCGAGUGUUAAUGGGGCCCCCAUGCCAGAUGGCGCUGGUCGCCCGCGGCGAUUCAUUUCGUUUGCGGUGUCGUUCCCGGCGAUCACUCGGCUACGGUGGGUUUAUCCCGGCGCCGGAGGAGUGCACUUCCCCCCUAGUAGAAACGUCGCGACCCGUUGGGUGCCGGUCUAAGGCCCGGGAUGGCAGCCCAUGUGUCCUGAGGGGGUUCUCACAGGCGCGUGGACUCCUGGUGUCCCGGCCGGCUGCUCGACGGUAUGACCAGAGGAGUCGAUCCGCUGAAUAAGAAACACUUUGGUUGUGAAGCGUCCGGCCCGACGCCGAUGCGUGUGGGGAUUGAGGUGUAAACCGGGGGUGCCCGUGCGAAGCACGGCCCCGGCCCUACUGCGUUUUCGGAUCGUUGGUGUCCUCGGACUGGAUCAGCACUCCCGUCUGCGACGCCCACCUUCGGAUGGUCUCCCG
rnacentral:rRNA from 1 species